rnacentral:miRNA from 1 species
ACUGGCAAUGACAUGGAAGGGGAA